GAUGAACGCUAGCGGCAGGCUUAAUACAUGCAAGUCGAGGGGCAGCAUGAUUGUAGCAAUACAAUUGAUGGCGACCGGCAAACGGGUGCGGAACACGUACACAACCUUCCAACAAGUGGGGGAUAGCCCAGAGAAAUUUGGAUUAAUACCCCGUAACAUAGCGAUGUGGCAUCACAUUGCUAUUAUAGAUUUUUCGCUUGUUGAUGGGUGUGCGGCUGAUUAGAUAGUUGGCGGGGUAACGGCCCACCAAGUCUACGAUCAGUAGCUGAUGUGAGAGCAUGAUCAGCCACACGGGCACUGAGACACGGGCCCGACUCCUACGGGAGGCAGCAGUAAGGAAUAUUGGACAAUGGACGCAAGUCUGAUCCAGCCAUGCCGCGUGAAGGAUUAAGGUCCUCUGGAUUGUAAACUUCUUUUAUGAGGGACGAAAAAAGGCUUUUCUAAGUCGUCUGACGGUACCUUAUGAAUAAGCACCGGCUAACUCCGUGCCAGCCGCCGCAGUAACAC
rnacentral:rRNA from 1 species